CUCCGGUUGGCGCAAUUGGUUAGCGUACGAGACUUUUAAUCUUGUGGUUGCGAGUUCGUCGCAUCGGGUG
rnacentral:tRNA from 1 species